rnacentral:rRNA from 1 species
AUUGAACGCUGGCGGCAGGCCUAACACAUGCAAGUCGGACGGUAGCACAGAGGAGCUUGCUCCUCGGGUGACGAGUGGCGGACGGGUGAGUAAUGUCUGGGGAUCUGCCCGAUAGAGGGGGAUAACCACUGGAAACGGUGGCUAAUACCGCAUAACGUCGCAAGACCAAAGAGGGGGACCUUCGGGCCUCUCACUAUCGGAUGAACCCAGAUGGGAUUAGCUAGCAGGCGGGGUAACGGCCCACCUAGGCGACGAUCCCUAGCUGGCCUGAGAGGAUGACCAGCCACACUGGAACUGAGACACGGUCCAGACUCCUACGGGAGGCAGCAGUGGGGAAUAUUGCACAAUGGGCGCAAGCCUGAUGCAGCCAUGCCGCGUGUAUGAAGAAGGCCUUCGGGUUGUAAAGUACUUUCAGCGGGGAGGAAGGCGAUGUGGUUAAUAACCGCGUCGAUUGACGUUACCCGCAGAAGAAGCACCGGCUAACUCCGUGCCAGCAGCCGCUGUAA